GCCUAAAAUACAUAAUUUGAAUACUUAAAAUACUGAAAUAAUUGAAAUGACUGAAUAAAUUAUAUUUUUUUAAGAAAAUCUGUCAUUAAAGUAAUAAUGUAUUUGGUGGAAUAUUGAAUUCAUUGGCGAUUUCACAUUUUUUGGGUCACAUUUUUCAACUAACUGUAUUAAACGAACUUUGUCCGAAAUUAAAAGAACAUUUAAUUUAUGAUUCUUUUCCAUUUCACUACAAAACGAACAAAGGAACUACGAAAGAUUACAAACGUGACU